UAGUACAGAAAAAGAAAGUAACGAAAGUACAAGAAACAACAGAUACUAACGAAACAAACAGAGCAUCCAUGUCUUAUUCAUGAAUCCAGAAACAAGAAGUAUGGGGAAGAUUGUACAAGUAUAUAUCUUUAAAAGUUGUAUGGAUAUAAGAGCAAAUGAGGACAGACCAAUCUCAUGCUUGCGUCUCCUAUAACGACUCCUAAAUUACAGAACAAAGACUAAAAGAGACGAAAAAGUCAGCUCAGACAUUGGUGUCAACAAGAGCAAUGCUACGAACCUUUCAAGAAUGAGCGAAUGAUACUAACCAUCUCGAGAUGUAGCUUUCUGGAGCAAAAGGUAUUUCAAAUCUCCAUAAGUUCCAGCAGGAUGGGACUUGAAACCAUCAGACAAAGUGACACGGAAAAAUUCUAGCGUUUGUAGAAUACAAUAUCACGGCUGCAGUUGGCCUUAAUAGCUUCUUCUAAACCUUGUACACGGUCAAAAUCAGCUUUGAACGUCACCAUGGUGACUCCAUCUUUCCCGGUAUCAUAAUCCUGCUUGAUAUCUUCUGCUUGGAAUGACUGUAGCUGAUGGUAUAGGACUCCUAGUAGUUCAAAAGGAACCUCCAAGCCCAUCGGCACUUUAGAUUUUACAAGACAUGUAGGAGCAUUUCUUAAACAUUCUGCAGCGACUCCUCCAUAAGCUCUUACUAGACCUCCAGUGCCAAGUUUAAUUCCUCCAAAGUGUCUAAUAACGACCACCAUGAUUCUAUCCAAUCCUGAGGAUGCAAUUGCAGAAUGUAUCGGCUUGCCAGCAGUACCAGAUGGUUCGCCAUCAUCAUUAGUCCGAUAUUGUUCACCAACCUUGUACGCCCAACAAUUAUGUGUAGCCCGAGGAUCUCGUACCUCAGAAAGGAAAGAUUGAGCAGAGCCCUCAUCUG
rnacentral:misc_RNA from 1 species